UACGUAGGGUGCGAGCGUUAAUCGGAAUUACUGGGCGUAAAGCGUGCGCAGGCGGCGCGUUAAGACAGGUGUGAAAGCCCCGAGCUUAACUUGGGAAUUGCGCUUGUGACUGGCGUGCUGGAGUGUGGCAGAGGGAGGUGGAAUUCCACGUGUAGCAGUGAAAUGCGCAGAUAUCAGGAGGAACACCGAUGGCGAAGGCAGCUCACUGGGACGGUACUGACGCUGAGACGCGAAAGCGUGGGGAGCAAACAGG
rnacentral:rRNA from 1 species